rnacentral:rRNA from 1 species
CCUACGGGUGGCAGCAGUGAGGAAUAUUGGUCAAUGGACGGAAGUCUGAACCAGCCAAGUAGCGUGCAGGAUGACGGCCCUAUGGGUUGUAAACUGCUUUUGUAUGGGGAUAAAGUUAGGGACGUGUCCCUAUUUGCAGUUACCAUACGAAUAAGGACCGGCUAAUUCCGUGCCAGCAGCCGCGGUAAUACGGAAGGUCCAGGCGUUAUCCGGAUUUAUUGGGUUUAAAGGGAGCGUAGGCUGGAGAUUAAGUGUGUUGUGAAAUGUAGACGCUCAACGUCUGAAUUGCAGCGCAUACUGGUUUCCUUGAGUACGCACAACGUUGGCGGAAUUCGUCGUGUAGCGGUGAAAUGCUUAGAUAUGACGAAGAACUCCGAUUGCGAAGGCAGCUGACGGGAGCGCAACUGACGCUUAAGCUCGAAGGUGCGGGUAUCAAACAGGAUUAGAUACCCUGGUAGUC